GRMSGYWKCUMGAAGUCUGACGGAGCACGCCGCGUGAGUGAUGAAGGAUUUCGGUUCGUAAAGCUCUGUUGUUAGGGAAGAACAAGUGCCGUUCAAAUAGGGCGGCACCUUGACGGUACCUAACCAGAAAGCCACGGCUAACUACGUGCCAGCAGCCGCGGUAAUACGUAGGUGGCAAGCGUUGUCCGGAAUUAUUGGGCGUAAAGCGCGCGCAGGCGGUCUUUUAAGUCUGAUGUGAAAGCCCACGGCUCAACCGUGGAGGGUCAUUGGAAACUGGGAGACUUGAGUACAGAAGAGGAGAGUGGAAUUCCACGUGUAGCGGUGAAAUGCGUAGAUAUGUGGAGGAACACCAGUGGCGAAGGCGACUCUCUGGUCUGUAACUGACGCUGAGGCGCGAAAGCGUGGGGAGCAAACAGGAUUAGAUACCCUGGUAGUCCACGCCGUAAACGAUGAGUGCUAGGUGUUAGGGGUUUCGAUGCCCUUAGUGCCGAAGUUAACACAUUAAGCACUCCGCCUGGGGAGUACGACCGCAAGGUUGAAACUCAAAKGAAUUGACGGGG
rnacentral:rRNA from 1 species